rnacentral:rRNA from 1 species
GGGAGGGGCGCAGGCUACACAUGCAGUCGAGCGGUAGCACAGAGAGCUUGCUCUCGGGUGACGAGCGGCGGACGGGUGAGUAAUGUCUGGGAAACUGCCUGAUGGAGGGGGAUAACUACUGGAAACGGUAGCUAAUACCGCAUAACGUCGCAAGACCAAAGUGGGGGACCUUCGGGCCUCAUGCCAUCAGAUGUGCCCAGAUGGGAUUAGCUGGUAGGUGGGGUAACGGCUCACCUAGGCGACGAUCCCUAGCUGGUCUGAGAGGAUGACCAGCCACACUGGAACUGAGACACGGUCCAGACUCCUACGGGAGGCAGCAGUGGGGAAUAUUGCACAAUGGGCGCAAGCCUGAUGCAGCCAUGCCGCGUGUGUGAAGAAGGCCUUCGGGUUGUAAAGCACUUUCAGCGGGGAGGAAGGCGGUGAGGUUAAUAACCUCAUCGAUUGACGUUACCCGCAGAAGAAGCACCGGCUAACUCCGUGCCAGCAGCCGCGGUAAUACGGAGGGUGCAAGCGUUAAUCGGAAUUACUGGGCGUAAAGCGCACGCAGGCGGUCUGUCAAGUCGGAUGUGAAAUCCCCGGGCUCAACCUGGGAACUGCAUUCGAAACUGGCAGGCUAGAGUCUUGUAGAGGGGGGUAGAAUUCCAGGUGUAGCGGUGAAAUGCGUAGAGAUCUGGAGGAAUACCGGUGGCGAAGGCGGCCCCCUGGACAAAGACUGACGCUCAGGUGCGAAAGCGUGGGGAGCAAACAGGAUUAGAUACCCUGGUAGUCCACGCUGUAAACGAUGUCGAUUUGGAGGUUGUGCCCUUGAGGCGUGGCUUCCGGAGCUAACGCGUUAAAUCGACCGCCUGGGGAGUACGGCCGCAAGGUUAAAACUCAAAUGAAUUGACGGGGGCCCGCACAAGCGGUGGAGCAUGUGGUUUAAUUCGAUGCAACGCGAAGAACCUUACCUGGUCUUGACAUCCACAGAACUUAGCAGAGAUGGAUUGGUGCCUUCGGGAACUGUGAGACAGGUGCUGCAUGGCUGUCGUCAGCUCGUGUUGUGAAAUGUUGGGUUAAGUCCCGCAACGAGCGCAACCCUUAUCCUUUGUUGCCAGCGGUUAGGCCGGGAACUCAAAGGAGACUGCCAGUGAUAAACUGGAGGAAGGUGGGGAUGACGUCAAGUCAUCAUGGCCCUUACGACCAGGGCUACACACGUGCUACAAUGGCAUAUACAAAGAGAAGCGACCUCGCGAGAGCAAGCGGACCUCAUAAAGUAUGUCGUAGUCCGGAUUGGAGUCUGCAACUCGACUCCAUGAAGUCGGAAUCGCUAGUAAUCGUAGAUCAGAAUGCUACGGUGAAUACGUUCCCGGGCCUUGUACACACCGCCCGUCACACCAUGGGAGUGGGUUGCAAAAGAAGUAGGUAGCUUAACCUUCGGGAGGGCGCUACCACUUUGAUCAUGCA